CAAAAACCUGUCCUUUUGGAAAUAAUUUAAGGGUUGACCUGCCCACUGAAAUAAAUUAAAUGGCCGCAGUAUUUUAACUGUGCAAAGGUAGCAUAAUCAUUAGUCUUUUAAUUGAAGGCUUGUAUGAAUGGUUGGACGAGGUAUAAACUGUAUCAUAUUAUAAUUUAUAGUAGAAUUUUAUUUUUUAGUUAAAAAGCUAAAAUUUAAUUGAAAGACGAGAAGACCCUAUAGAUCUUUAUAUUUUUAUUAAUUAUUAUUAUUAAGAUAUUUUUAAUAUUAAUUAAUUGAACUAUUUUGUUGGGGUGACAUUAAAAUUUAUAAAACUUUUAAUAAUUUUAUACAUUUAUUUAUGAUUAAUUGAUCCACUAUUAGUGAUUAUAAAAUUAAGUUACCUUAGGGAUAACAGCGUAAUCUUUUUGGAGAGUUCAUAUCGAUAAAAAGGUUUGCGACCUCGAUGUUGGAUUAAAAUAAAUUUUGGGUGUAGCAGUUCAAAGAUUUAAGUCUGUUCGACUUUUAAUUUUUUACAUGAUCU
rnacentral:rRNA from 1 species